GCUGGGAUAGUUCAGCUGGUUAGAACAUUGUAAAAGCUUAAGCGGCGCUCAUAACGCCGAAGUCCCGGGUUCAAAUCCCGGUCCCAGCA
rnacentral:tRNA from 1 species